UACGGAGGAUGCGAGCGUUAUCCGGAUUUAUUGGGUUUAAAGGGUGCGCAGGCGGAAGAUUAAGUCGGCGGUGAAAUUUUGCAGCUCAACUGUAAAAGUGCCUUCGAAACUGGUUUCCUUGAGUGUAGAUGAAGUAGGCGGAAUUUGUGGUGUAGCGGUGAAAUGCUUAGAUAUCACGAGGAACUCCGAUUGCGCAGGCAGCUUACUAAACUACUACUGACGCUCAGGCACGAAGGCGUGGGGAUCAAACAGGAUUAGAUACCCGCGUA
rnacentral:rRNA from 1 species